GUCCAGCAGGUGACAGUGAAGAGCAGACAUUCCCAAAUGCUUCCUUAACCAACGAUCCACAUCCAAAACAGUUUGCACACCAAAUGUGGGCAUUGCAAUAAUGAGCAAGAGAAUGUUUCAUUCAGCGACAUGUCGACACGACCAGGCUGCAAGAUCUUAAAUCCUGUAAGGAUUCAAUGUUCAUGAACUCCGAAGGCACUAUCUUUAUAGUGUUUUUGGCACUUUGAAAAUGACUCAUUGUCUUCUUCAUCAAAAAACCUUCUAAUGGACGGCAGACCGAAGGAGCUUUACUCACAAAGACAAGACACAUCAGCUGUACGACAUCGAAAAACAUGUAAGGUAAACAAGGGGGCUGAAUGCCUUUCCCAGCCUUCUAAUGGGACUUCUAACGGGGCAAAUAAAAGGAUCCCCGAGCGAGGAGGACACUUCGGUUCUCCCUGCAGAGAUGAUCAUGUUCCAGUUUACACGUUGGUCUUGGUGCUUCUGCUCUCUGUAUGCACACGCUUUUACAAGAUCACUGAGCCUCCACAUGUAUGUUGGGAUGAGACUCAUUUCGGGAAAAUGGGAAGUUAUUACAUUAAUCGCACCUUCUUCUUUGAUGUCCAUCCGCCACUUGGAAAGAUGCUGAUUGGCCUUGCUGGAUACCUGACAGGCUAUGAUGGCACCUUUCCCUUCAUAAAACCAGGGGACAAAUAUGAGCACCACAACUACUGGGGGAUGAGAGCGUUCUGUGCAGCUCUUGGUUCCUGUCUACCUCCUUUUGCCUUUCUUAUUGUCCUGGAGCUGUCCCAUUCUACACCAGCAGCGCUAAUCGCAGCCUCUCUUCUUAUUUUUGACACUGGCUGCAUCACCCUGUCUCAGUACAUUCUCCUGGAUCCCAUUCUAAUGUUUUUCAUCAUGGGCUCUGUUCUGUGCAUGGUCAAAUUUAACACACAGGGAUUCAGUCCUUUCAGCUUCUCCUGGUGGCUCUGGCUGCUUCUGACGGGGGUCUGCCUCUCUGGGUCUCUGGGAGUGAAGUUUGUGGGGCUGUUUGUCAUCGUCUUGGUCGGAAUCAACACAGCAUUUGAUCUGUGGAGGCUGCUUGGGGAUCUCAGCUUGUCUCUGGUGGAUUUUGGGAAGCACUUAUGUGCUCGAGUUUUUGGGUUGAUAAUGCUUCCAUUGUUCCUAUACACUACAAUAUUUGCCGUCCACUUCAUUGUCUUAAACAGAAGCGGUACUGGGGAUGGUUUCUUCAGUUCUGCUUUCCAGUCUCGCUUGAUUGGAAACAAUCUACACAACGCCUCCAUGCCAGAGUAUCUGGCUUAUGGCUCUGUCAUAACGGUGAAGAAUCUGCGAAUUGCAGGAGGAUAUCUGCACUCUCACUGGCAUCUUUACCCAGAGGGGGUUGGAGCUCACCAGCAGCAGGUUACAGCCUAUUUGCACAAAGAUUAUAACAACCUGUGGUUGGUCAAGAGACCUGACAACACUGAAGAUCCCACAGGGUCACCAGAGCUGGUCCGACAUGGUGACAUCAUUAGACUGGAACACAAAGAAACUACAAGGAAUCUUCACAGUCAUUUCCAUGAAGCUCCACUGACCAAAAAACAUCUGCAGGUCACAGGAUACGGCAUUAAUGGAAGCGGAGACAUGAAUGACUUGUGGCAGGUGGAGGUGUGUGGAGGGAGGAAGGGAGAUCCGGUGAAGGUGCUGCGUAGUAAAGUGCGCUUUCUCCAUCGCUCCACGGGUUGCGUGCUCUGCUCUUCUGGAAAGACCCUCCCCAAGUGGGGAUGGGAACAAGUGGAGGUCACAUGUAGCCCGUAUGUCAAAGAGACCCCCAACUCGCAAUGGAAUAUUGAGGAUCACAUCAACCCUAAAUUGCCCAACAUCAGUCUUUCAGUGCUCAAACCCACUUUCCUGGAGAUCCUCUGGGAGUCUCAUAUUGUGAUGAUCAGGGGAAAUAGUGGUUUAAAGCCCAAAGACAAUGAGGUAAACUCUAAGCCCUGGCAUUGGCCCAUCAACUAUCAGGGUUUGAGGUUUUCUGGAGUGAAUGAGACAGAGUACCGUGUUUAUCUCCUCGGCAACCCUGUCAUCUGGUGGCUGAACAUAUUGAGUCUGGCUCUAUUUGUUGUCAUGCUGACAGUGGCUUCUUUAGCAGUACAGAGAGGAGUGAAGAUGGAGGGAAUGAGGAAUGUGCACUGUCACACUCUCAUGGAGGGUGGUGGGAUGCUGCUUUUGGGCUGGCUGUUACACUACCUCCCUUUCUUCAUCAUGGGUCGCAUACUCUACUACCACCAUUACUUUCCUGCCAUGCUGUUCAGCAGUAUGCUCACAGGUACAAAGGCAAACAAGAUAACCAAACGGUAUUACUCUGGACAUCUUCCUUCAGAAUUUUCAGCUUCUCUUUAGUCCAUCCAUAUCCCAUUAUCUUCUGAGGGGAGGUCAAUCUAUACUCUUGUUAGGGUUCAUCUACAGCUUUUACCUUUUUCACCCUCUCUCCUAUGGCAUGAGGGGGCCGCUGGCACACGACCCUGCCUCCUCCAUGGCCGGCCUCAGGUGGAUGGAAUCCUGGGAAUUUUAGACAUUUCUAUUCAAUUUUAGACCAUUUUAAUUCCGUUCAAUUUUAGACUAUUUAUCCCAGGGCUUAAUAACAUGUUUUAACCAUUUUAGUUGUUUCGUGUUGACUGGGUGAUUUCAUUGUUGAAGGACAGCCUUUACUCUGCUGUGAUGAAACGUUUUUUAAAAUAGUGUUUUAAAGUUAAAGUAUUUUACAGUCUUGUAUUUUUGAUAGUGUUUACCUGCUGUUGCUGAAGUGUAAUAAACUGAUAGAAGAAAUAAAGUGCCUUUCAGUUUUCAAAUUUAAA